rnacentral:lncRNA from 1 species
GCAACCAUUGUCGUCGGAGGACAGGAGAUCUUCGGCGAGAAGGGAACUACGGCUUCUGUUGAUGUUGGGAGGGAGAGGGUGGGGUGGGGUGGAGAAUCGAUUUCGGCUUGGGAGGGUAAAAGGGAGACCGAUUAGGCAAUCUUUGAUUUUGGAACGUAAUAGCAAAUCGGCGCUAAAGCAGAGAAAAGUCAAAUCCGUC